rnacentral:rRNA from 1 species
GACGAACGCUGGCGGCGUGCCUAAUACAUGCAAGCAGAACGCUGAAGAGAGGAGCUUGCUCUUCUUGGAUGAGUUGCGAACGGGUGAGUAACGCGUAGGUAACCUGCCUUGUAGCGGGGGAUAACUAUUGGAAACGAUAGCUAAUACCGCAUAACAAUGGAUGACACAUGUCAUUUAUUUGAAAGGGGCAAUUGCUCCACUACAAGAUGGACCUGCGUUGUAUUAGCUAGUAGGUGAGGUAAUGGCUCACCUAGGCGACGAUACAUAGCCGACCUGAGAGGGUGAUCGGCCACACUGGGACUGAGACACGGCCCAGACUCCUACGGGAGGCAGCAGUAGGGAAUCUUCGGCAAUGGGGGCAACCCUGACCGAGCAACGCCGCGUGAGUGAAGAAGGUUUUCGGAUCGUAAAGCUCUGUUGUAAGUCAAGAACGGGUGUGAGAGUGGAAAGUUCACACUGUGACGGUAGCUUACCAGAAAGGGACGGCUAACUACGUG